rnacentral:tRNA from 1 species
CGGUGAUCUCGGCGGCGGCGGCCAGCCAGCGCUCCCGCCGCUGGGCCAGCUCGUAGAGCCGGGCGUUGUCGAUCGCCACGCCGGCCGCGGC